rnacentral:rRNA from 1 species
GAUGAACGCUGGCGGCGUGCCUAAUACAUGCAAGUCGAGCGAACAGACGAGGAGCUUGCUCCUCUGACGUUAGCGGCGGACGGGUGAGUAACACGUGGAUAACCUACCUAUAAGACUGGGAUAACUUCGGGAAACCGGAGCUAAUACCGGAUAAUAUAUUGAACCGCAUGGUUCAAUAGUGAAAGACGGUUUUGCUGUCACUUAUAGAUGGAUCCGCGCCGCAUUAGCUAGUUGGUAAGGUAACGGCUUACCAAGGCGACGAUGCGUAGCCGACCUGAGAGGGUGAUCGGCCACCCUGGAACUGAACCGCGGUCCAGACUCCUACGGGAGGCAGCAGUAGGGAAUCUUCCGCAAUGGGCGAGAGCCUGACGGAGCAACGCCGCGUGAGUGAUGAAGGUCUUCGGAUCGUAAAACUCUGUUAUUAGGGAAGAACAAAUGUGUAAGUAACUAUGCACGUCUUGACGGUACCUAAUCAGAAAGCCACGGCUAACUACGUG